rnacentral:RNase_P_RNA from 2 species
UUAGCCAGCCAGACAGUCGCUGUGAAUGAAAAUUCAUGGAGGAAAGUCCGGGCUCCAUAGGACAAAGCGCCAGAUAACGUCUGGGAGAUGAAAGUCUACGGAAAGUGCCACAGAAAAUAUACCGCCGAUUUUUUCGGUAAGGGUGAAAUGGUGCGGUAAGAGCGCACCGCAUUGUUGGUAACAACAAUGGCAGGGUAAACCCCGCUUGGAGCAAGACCAAAUAGGAGUUCCGUUCAAUCUUUUGAUUGAAUAAAACGCGGUCCGCGUUGAACUCGGGUUAGGUCGCUUGAACCCUCGAGUGAUCGAGGGUCCAGAUGAAUGACUGUCCACGACAGAACCCGGCUUAUCGGCUGGCUAAUUUG